rnacentral:tRNA from 1 species
GACUCGGUAGUCCAAAAAAGAGACGGCUCUAUUAAACGAGUGUCAAUGUGUAGGUUAAAGUCCUACUCGAGUCG